GGAGCCGGUCGGGUGAUCGCCUUGACAAUGUUGGGGAGGAAAGUCCGAACACCGCAGAGCAGGAUGCCUCCUAACGGGAGGGAUCCCGAUAUUUCAAAAUGUCGGGAUACGGCAUGUGCAGCAGAAAGUAAACUACCCCUACACUCGUGUCGGGGAAAAGGUGAAACGGUGGUUUAAGAGACCACCAGUUCUGAUGGAGACAUCGGAAGCUGGGUAAACCCCAUUCGGUGCAAGAUCAAGCAGCUCCGAGAUGUUGCUCGCAUCAUUAUAAGGAGCGGGUAGAUCGCGUGAACUCGAUCGUGAGGUCGAGUCCAGAUGAAUGAUCACCGUCCCGACAUGUCGGGAUACAGAAUUCGGCUUAUAGACCGGCUCCAAAA
rnacentral:RNase_P_RNA from 1 species